AGAGCCAUAGGGACGGAUCCCAAACCAGCCUUAACGAAAGAAACCUGCCAUGGGAGUCUGGAAGACUGGUGACCGUCCUAAUGACUUA
rnacentral:pre_miRNA from 1 species